rfam:Mesocricetus auratus contig167917, whole genome shotgun sequence.
GGAUGUGAGGGCGAUCUGGCUGCUACAUCCUUCACCCCAUCGAUCGCCAGGGUUGAUUCGCCUGAUCUGACUGACUAGGCGGGUGUCUCCUUCCCAAAGCUGCGCUCUUGUCGAAGAGGACGACCUUCCCUCGAAUAGAGGAGGACCGGUCUUCGGUCAAGGGUACAGGAGUAUCUGCGCUCCCCUGCUAGAACCUCCAAACAAACUCUCAGGAACUCUGCCUUCCGAUUCCUUUCUGGGCACAUUGAGGGUAAAGUGAGCAGCAUUUCGUACGGGACACGAAAUGAUGCUUUCU